CCGACCUCAUCAUCCCAAGUAAUGGGGACUACAGAGUUUAGGAUGCUUCAAGGGAAAGAUGAACCGGGGAACCGCCACCGUGACUAUUUCUCAUCUACAUAUCCACCCCCCGAAGUUCUUAAGGUGGAGCGGAAUUCAUUUUAUUUGCAAAUGUGGAAGGCAUUAUAAAAACCGUGAAUGAUGCCCCCUCCCAUGAGGGAUACAGGGAGAGCCACGUGAAGAGGAUGUUGGGCUUCUUCAAGCUGGCAGGGCACUGAGCUGACUGUCCACCACACUCACCAGGGGCCUUUGUGCAUCCCGUGGGGCAGCUCUGGGAAAGGAGGGCCAGAAAGGAUGGGCUUUCCCUUUUCCUCGUGGCAGAAACUUCCCUGACUUCAUAGCUGGGUUCCCCCUAUCCACAGUUUACAGUACAACUAUCUCCUCCAAGUUGGCCAGCAUUGCCUCUGAUACGUGAACAAGAAGUAUUUGGAGGGUUAAUAAAUACAAAUCAACACAUAUACACAUGAAGAGAAAAUGGAUGUAAUAACCAAGGACUGCCUGAUAUGCGGGAACUGAAGCUCAGAAAGGCAAAACAACUUUUCAUGCUCUUCUACCUAAUAAGUCGGAGAACCAAGAUUCAAAUUCUAAAUGCGGGUCUGAUUGAGGCCAAGCAGGAAACCUGUGCCCCAGCACCUGUCUGCUUCUGUCAUGGGGUUGUACUCCAGGAACCAUCGUGCACCUGGCAGCCCUCUCACCCUGCAGGCAGCGAGCCCGGGGAGCCAUAAAGAACUUCUUUUAGAAUGGAUUCACUGACUGAAAUCACGCUUUGGGUAAUUUUUUCUCUGUAGCAAGGCACUUGAAUGUCAUCUUUAAGAUCCAUUGAAUCUAAU
rnacentral:lncRNA from 1 species